GAUUCCCGUCCCACCUUCUCCUGUAGCUUCAGCCCAGGCCUUCCCCGACACCGGGCCUUGCACACAGCCCCCAUCCAGCCCCGUGUCUGGGGUGAGCAGAGGUGGGGAGGGUCCCAAGCUCACGUGAGCACGUUCUGGAAGUCUGACCCUUAGGGAAAGAGGGAGUCAAGCCCAUGGCCACUGGGAUCACUCACAAGUGUAACUCUCCACCUCAUAACCUUUCCAACUCCCAGAGCCUGUGCCGCUGGAGGAGGUCCAAUUGGUGGUGGAGCCAGAAGGUGGAGCAGUAGCUCCUGGUGGAAGCGUAACCCUGACCUGUGAAGUCCCUGCCCAGUCCUCUCCUCAAAUCCACUGGAUGAAGGAUGGUGUGCCCUUGCCCCUUCCCCCCAGCCCUGUGCUGAUCCUCCCUGAGACAGGGCCUCAGGACCAGGGAACCUACAGCUGUGUGGCCACCCAUCCCAGCCACGGGCCCCAGGAAAGCCGUGCUGUCAGCAUCAGCAUCAUCGAACCAGGCGAGGAGGGGCCAACUGCAGGCUCUGUGGGAGGAUCAGGGCUGGGAACUCUAGCCCUGGCCCUGGGGAUCCUGGGAGGCCUAGGGACAGCCGCCCUGCUCAUUGGGGUCAUCUUGUGGCAAAGGCAGCGACGCCAAGGAGAGGAGAGGAAGGCCCCAGAAAACCAGGAGGAAGAGGAGGAGCAUGCAGAACUGAAUCAGUCAGAGGAACCUGAGGCAGGCGAGAGUAGUACUGGAGGGCCUUGAGGGGCCCACAGACAGAUCCCAUCCAUCAGCUCCCUUUUUUUUUCCCUUGAACUGUUCUGGCCUCAGACCAACUCUCUCCUGUAUAAUCUCUCUCCUGUAUAACCCCACCUUGCCAAGCUUUCUUCUACAACCAGAACCCCCCCACAAUGAUGAUUAAAUACCUGACACAUCUUGC
rnacentral:sRNA from 1 species